CCUACGGGUGGCAGCAGUGAGGAAUAUUGGUCAAUGGACGAGAGUCUGAACCAGCCAAGUAGCGUGAAGGAUGACUGCCCUAUGGGUUGUAAACUUCUUUUAUAUGGGAAUAAAAUGUUCCACGUGUGGGAUUUUGUAUGUACCAUAUGAAUAAGGAUCGGCUAACUCCGUGCCAGCAGCCGCGGUAAUACGGAGGAUCCGAGCGUUAUCCUGAUUUAUUGGGUUUAAAGGGAGCGUAGGUGGAUUGUUAAGUCAGUUGUGAAAGUUUGCGGCUCAACCGUAAAAUUGCAGUUGAUACUGGCAGUCUUGAGUACAGUAGAGGUAGGCGGAAUUCGGGGUGUAGCGGUGAAAUGCUUAGAUAUCACGAAGAACUCCGAUUGCGAAGGCAGUUCACUGGACUGCAACUGACACUGAGGCUCGAAAGUGUGGGUAUCAAACAGGAUUAGAUACCCGAGUAGUC
rnacentral:rRNA from 1 species